UUUUAUGGAUAAGCAAAGAAAGUGUUUUCUUGAGAAGGAAUCCACUCCUGAUGAAGAUGCUGUGAA
rnacentral:pre_miRNA from 1 species